UACGUAGGUGGCAAGCGUUGUCCGGAAUUAUUGGGCGUAAGCGCGCGCAGGUGGUUCUUUAAGUCUGAUGUGAAAGCCCACGGCUCAACCGUGGAGGGUCAUUGGAAACUGGGGAACUUGAGUGCAGAAGAGGAAAGUGGAAUUCCACGUGUAGCGGUGAAAUGCGUAGAGAUGUGGAGGAACACCAGUGGCGAAGGCGACUUUCUGGUCUGUAACUGACACUGAGGCGCGAAAGCGUGGGGAGCGAACAGG
rnacentral:rRNA from 1 species